GAUAAUUGUUUAGUCAAUUUAUUCUGAAGAUAAAACUUUAUUGUUGUCAAUAAUUUUCUAUUAUUUAUUUAAAAUAUUAUUAUUUAAUUAUUUAUUUAGAAAAAAUUUUUUUAAUUAUAGUUAACUUGUAUUGUGAGAGAAUAUUUUUUACUUUAAAGAAGAAGAAUUCAAUUUUUGUACCUUGUGUAUCAGGGCCAAUUAAAUUAAUUAUAUAAAUAUAUGGAUCUCGAAUCUAAAAGGGCUAAAAUUUUAUUUUUUAAAUGUUUUAUAAUUUUUCGGAAUAUAAUUUUAGUAAUGAAACGUUAUUCGUUUUUUGAUAUAUCUAGUUUUUUGAGAAAUAAAUUUAAUUUAAUUAUUUCUAGAAUUAAUUUAAGUUAUUAAUUUGAUUUUGGAAAUAUUAACUUUUUUUAGGGAAAAGCUUGAAAAAGUAAAUUUAUUUAAUUUUUGUAAUAAAUUUGAAGGUAGGAUUAUGAGUUUCCGUCUUUUUUAAAAUGUUAUAGUUUUCUUGUUGUUUAUUGUUAUUUAUAUAAUUAAUAAGUUUUAUAUCAAAAUUAUGGGUAUAAUAUAGAAGUUCAAGAAAUAAUGAUUGGAUUAGUAUAUUUAUUGGUAUAUAUAUAUAUAUAUAUAUAUUGAGGAUAUAGAUAAUUAAUUCGGCAAUUUUAUUUUCCACCUGUUUAUUAAAAACAUGGCUUUUUGAUAAUAAUUUAAGGUCGGGCCUGCUCAAUGACUAAGUUAAAUGGCUGCAGUAUUUUGACUGUACUAAGGUAGCAUAAUCAUUAGUUUUUUAAUUGGAAACUGGAAUGAAAGGUUUGAUGAGAAAAUGACUGUCUCUUUUAUAAAUAUAAAAAUUUAUUUUUAAGUUAAAAAGCUUAAAUGAAAUUAAAAGACGAGAAGACCCUAUAGAGUUUAAUAGUUUAAUAAUUUUUAUUAAUAAAGUAAAAGAUUUAUUUUAAUUAUAAUAACUAUUUGAUUGGGGUGAUUAAGAAAUUAAAUAAACUUUUUGGUUUCAAUUACUUAAAUAAAAGGAAUUUUUGAUCCGUAUUUAGCGAUUAAAAGAAUAAAUUACCUUAGGGAUAACAGCGUAAUCUUUUUUUAGAGUUCAAAUCGAUAAAAAGGAUUGCGACCUCGAUGUUGGAUUAAAAUUAACUUUUGGGUGCAAAAGCCAAAUGGUUGAGUCUGUUCGACUUUUAAAAUUUUACAUGAUCUGAGUUUAAACCGGUGUGAGCCAGGUUGGUUUCUAUCUUUAAUAGAAAAAAAAAUUUUAGUACGAAAGGACCAAAUUUUUAAUUUAUAAUUUAUGGUUUGAAUAUUAAUAUUAUUUUGGCAGAAUAGUGCAAUUGAUUUAGAAUCUUUAUAUAUAGAUAUAACUAUAA
rnacentral:rRNA from 1 species